rnacentral:rRNA from 1 species
UAACCUGCGGAGGGAUCAUUACUGAGUUUACGCUCUAUAACCCUUUGUGAACAUACCUAUAACUGUUGCUUCGGCGGGUAGGGUCUCCGUGACCCUCCCGGCCUCCCGCCCCCGGGCGGGUCGGCGCCCGCCGGAGGAUAACCAAACUCUGAUUUAACGACGUUUCUUCUGAGUGGUACAAGCAAAUAAUCAAAACUUUUAACAACGGAUCUCUUGGUUCUGGCAUCGAUGAAGAACGCAGCGAAAUGCGAUAAGUAAUGUGAAUUGCAGAAUUCAGUGAAUCAUCGAAUCUUUGAACGCACAUUGCGCCCGCCAGCAUUCUGGCGGGCAUGCCUGUUCGAGCGUCAUUUCAACCCUCAAGCUCUGCUUGGUGUUGGGGCCCUACAGCUGAUGUAGGCCCUCAAAGGUAGUGGCGGACCCUCCCGGAGCCUCCUUUGCGUAGUAACUUUACGUCUCGCACUGGGAUCCGGAGGGACUCUUGCCGUAAAACCCCCAAUUCUCCAAAGGUUGACCUCGGAUCAGGUAGGAAUACCCGCUGAACUUAAGCAUAUCAAUAG